rnacentral:rRNA from 1 species
CCUACGGGAGGCAGCAGUGGGGAAUAUUGGGCAAUGGGCGCAAGCCUGACCCAGCAACGCCGCGUGAAGGAAGAAGGCUUUCGGGUUGUAAACUUCUUUUCUCAGGGACGAAGCAAGUGACGGUACCUGAGGAAUAAGCCACGGCUAACUACGUGCAAGCAGCCGCGGUAAUACGGAGGUGGCAAGCGUUAUCCGGAUUUACUGGGUGUAAAGGGCGUGUAGGCGGGAAAGCAAGUCAGAUGUGAAAACCAUGGGCUCAACCUGUGGCCUACAUUUGAAACUGUUUUUCUUGAGUACUGGAGAGGCAGACGGAAUUCCUAGUGUAGCGGUGAAAUGCGUAGAUAUUAGGAGGAACACCAGUGGCGAAGGCGGUCUGCUGGACAGCAACUGACGCUGAGGCGCGAAAGCGUGGGGAGCAAACAGGAUUAGAUACCCCGGUAGUC